GACGAACGCUGGCGGCGUGCCUAAUACAUGCAAGUAGAACGCUGAAGAGAGGAGCUUACUCUUCUUGGAUGAGUUGCGAACGGGUGAGUAACGCGUAGGUAACCUGCCUUGUAGCGGGGGAUAACUAUUGGAAACGAUAGCUAAUACCGCAUAACAAUGGAUGACACAUGUCAUUUAUUUGAAAGGGGCAAUUGCUCCACUACAAGAUGGACCUGCGUUGUAUUAGCUAGUAGGUGAGGUAAUGGCUCACCUAGGCGACGAUACGUAGCCGACCUGAGAGGGUGAUCGGCCACACUGGGACUGAGACACGGCCCAGACUCCUACGGGAGGCAGCAGUAGGGAAUCUUCGGCAAUGGGGGCAACCCUGACCGAGCAACGCCGCGUGAGUGAAGAAGGGUGUCGGAUCGUAAAGCUCUGUUGUAAGUCAAGAACGGGUGUGAGAGUGGAAAGUUCACACUGUGACGGUAGCUUACCAGAAAGGGACGGCUAACUACGUG
rnacentral:rRNA from 1 species